GACGAACGCUGGCGGCGUGCUUAACACAUGCAAGUCGAACGGUGAAGCGCCUUCCUUUUUGGUGGGUGUGGAUUAGUGGCCAACGGGUGAGUAACACGUUAGUCACCUGCCCCCUUCUUCUGGAUAACCGCAUGCAAGUUUUGCUAAUACGGGAUAUUCUGGGUCUGUCUCAUGAUGGGUCUGGGAUAUAUAUUGUUUCGGUGGUGGAUGGGCUCGCUGCCUAUCAGCUUGUUGGUGGGGUGAUUGCCUACCAAGGCGGUGACGGGUAGCCGGCCUGAGAGGGUGGACGGUGACACUGGGACGGAGACACGGCCGAGACGCCUACGGGAGGAAGCAGUGGGGAAUAUUGCAGAAUGGGCGCAAGCAUGAUGCAGCGACGCCGCGGGAGGGAUGGAGGCCGUCGGGUUGUGAACCUCUUUCGCCAGUGAAGCAGGACUGCCUCGUUUGGGGGUGGGUUGACGGUAGCUUGAUAAGAAGCGCCGGCUAACUACGUG
rnacentral:rRNA from 1 species